ensembl:snRNA U6 U6 spliceosomal RNA
GUGCUCGCUUCAGCAGCACAUAUACUAAAAUUGGAAUGAUACAGAGAAGAUUAGCAUGGCCCCUGCACAAGGAUGACAUGCAAAUUCAUGAAGCAUUCCAUAUUUAA